GACGAACGCUGGCGGCGUGCUUAACACAUGCAAGUCGAACGGAAAGGCCCUGCUUUUGUGGGGUGCUCGAGUGGCGAACGGGUGAGUAACACGUGAGUAACCUGCCCUUGACUUUGGGAUAACUUCAGGAAACUGGGGCUAAUACCGGAUAGGAGCUCCUGCUGCAUGGUGGGGGUUGGAAAGUUUCGGCGGUUGGGGAUGGACUCGCGGCUUAUCAGCUUGGUGGUGGGGUAGUGGCUUACCAAGGCUUUGACGGGUAGCCGGCCUGAGAGGGUGACCGGCCACAUUGGGACUGAGAUAGGGCCCAGACGCCUACGGGCGGCAGGAGUGGGGAAUAUUGCACAAUGGGCGGAAGCCUGAUGCAGCAACGCCGCGUGCGGGAUGACGGCCUUCGGGUUGUAAACCGCUUUCGCCUGUGACGAAGCGUGAGUGACGGUAAUGAGUAAAGAGGCACCGGCUAACUACGU
rnacentral:rRNA from 1 species